rnacentral:sRNA from 1 species
UCCUCGGUCGCGAUUCGCCCAGUCCGAGA